UACGUAGGUGGCUAGCGUUGUCCGGAUUUACUGGGCGUAAAGAGCGCGCAGGCGGUCGUUCAAGUCGAGUGUGAAAGCCCCCGGCUCAACUGGGGAGGGUCACUCGAUACUGAUCGACUUGAAGGCAGGAGAGGGAAGUGGAAUUCCGGGUGUAGUGGUGAAAUGCGUAGAUAUCCGGAGGAACACCAGUGGCGAAGGCGACUUCCUGGCCUGUUCUUGACGCUGAGGCGCGAAAGCUGGGGGAGCAAACGGG
rnacentral:rRNA from 1 species